UGGGGAAUUUUGGACAAUGGGGGCAACCCUGAUCCAGCCAUUCCGCGUGAGUGAAGAAGGCCUUCGGGUUGUAAAGCUCUUUCAGCAGGAACGAAACGGUCGGCUUUAAUAAAGUCGGCUAAUGACGGUACCUGCAGAAGAAGCACCGGCUAACUACGUGCCAGCAGCCGCGGUAAUACGUAGGGUGCGAGCGUUAAUCGGAAUUACUGGGCGUAAAGCGUGCGCAGGCGGUUUGGUAAGACAGAUGUGAAAUCCCCGGGCUUAACCUGGGAACUGCAUUUGUGACUGCCAGACUAGAGUGUAGCAGAGGGGGGUAGAAUUCCACGUGUAGCAGUGAAAUGCGUAGAUAUGUGGAGGAAUACCGAUGGCGAAGGCAGCCCCCUGGGCUAACACUGACGCUCAUGCACGAAAGCGUGGGGAGCAAACAGGAUUAGAUACCCUCGUAGUCCCUGAGCGGGCUGGCAAGGCGCAU
rnacentral:rRNA from 1 species